rnacentral:rRNA from 1 species
ACUCCUACGGGAGGCAGCAGUGGGGAAUAUUGCACAAUGGGGGAAACCCUGAUGCAGCCAUGCCGCGUGUGUGAAGAAGGCCUUCGGGUUGUAAAGCACUUUCAGUAGGGAGGAAGGUAGUGUAGUUAACACCUGCACUAUUUGACGUUACCUACAGAAGAAGCACCGGCUAACUCCGUGCCAGCAGCCGCGGUAAUACGGAGGGUGCGAGCGUUAAUCGGAAUUACUGGGCGUAAAGCGCAUGCAGGCGGCCUGUUAAGUCAGAUGUGAAAGCCCGGGGCUUAACCUCGGAAUUGCAUUUGAAACUGGCAGGCUAGAGUCUUGUAGAGGGGGGUAGAAUUUCAGGUGUAGCGGUGAAAUGCGUAGAGAUCUGAAGGAAUACCAGUGGCGAAGGCGGCCCCCUGGACAAAAGACUGACGCUCAGAUGCGAAAGCGUGGGGAGCAAACAGGAUUAGAUACCCUGGUAGCACAGAG